rnacentral:rRNA from 1 species
UUAGUAGCUGGUUCCUUCCGAAGUUUCCCUCAGGAUAGCUGGCGCUCGAGUGCAGUCUCAUCCGGUAAAGCGAAUGAUUAGAGGCCUUGGGGUCGAAACGACCUCAACCUAUUCUCAAACUUUCAAUGGGUGAGACGUCGGCCUUGUCUGCGCAAAGGUCGAACGCUCGGAUGCGAGUGCCCAGUGGGCCACUUUUGGUAAGCAGAACUGGCGCUGUGGGAUGAACCAAAAGCAGGGGUUACGGCGCCCGAUGCAGACGCUCAUCAGAACCCAUGAAAGGUGUUGGUGCUAUGACAG